GGGGAUUUAGCUCAGUGGUAGAGCACUUGCCUAGCAAGCGCAAGGCCCGGGGUUCAGUCCCCA
rfam:Rattus norvegicus chromosome 17, whole genome shotgun sequence.